GUACACGCUGUGACUAGCAUAUCAAUAAGCGGAGGAAAAGAAACUAACAAGGAUUCCCCUAGUAACGGCGAGUGAAGCGGGAAGAGCUCAAAUUUGAAAUCUUAAAGGGUUUCCCUUUACGAAUUGUAGUUUAAAGAAGUGUUUUCUGUUGAGGUUUUGGUAAAAGUUCUUUGGAAUAGGACAUCAUAGAGGGUGAGAAUCCCGUAUUUGACCUUUACUUUCAACUUUGUGAUACACUUUCAAAGAGUCGGAUUGUUUGGGAAUGCAGUCCAAAAUGGGUGGUAAAUUUCAUUCUAAAGCUAAAUAUUGGCGAGAGACCGAUAGCGAACAAGUACCGUGAGGGAAAGAUGAAAAGAACUUUGAAAAGAGAGUUAAACAGUACGUGAAAUUGUCAAAAGGGAAGCGUUUGACACCAGUGUUGUUUUUCUGAAAAUCAAUUAAAGAACUGUUUAUGCUAAGCUGUUUAGACUUUAUCAGCUAAUCUGUUUAGUUUUGAGCUUUUCUUUAAUGCACUUUUCAGUUAACAAGUCAACAUCAAUUUCUUUUGCUGUAAAAAAGCUUGAGGAAGGUGGCUUGAGAUUCGUCUUAAGUGUUUAUAGCCUCUUGCCUAUGCAGUCGGAGAGAUUGAGGUCUGCAGCGUAGAUCCUUCGGGGCUAAAUGCAUUUGUGCUAAGUUAUAGCAUUUUAUAGACAACUUGUUGACUAUGAUCUGUCUUGUAGCUUACUCGCUUAUGUUAUUUUACCUACGCUUAGGAUGUUGAAGAUGUAGCACAUCAU
rnacentral:rRNA from 1 species